CCUGGACUCCCUUUGUAGACCAGGCUGGUCUCCAACUCACAGAGAUCUGCCUGUCUUUGCCUCCUGAGUACUGGGAU
ensembl:miRNA Gm24323 predicted gene, 24323